ensembl:lncRNA LOC100912617 uncharacterized LOC100912617
CGACCUGGGGGGAAGGCAGGGCUCCUGACUUGGGAGACAAACUGGGUUACAGAUACUUGGCAGAGUUUUGACUACUUUCGACUUGGGACAAAGGCAGAAGAAACAGCAAGAAAGAAUUGAAGAGUGGUUUAUUAUGUCUGUGUCACAAAAGGGCAGGAAACCACAACUCUGAAGACUUGGAGGACUUGGCUAAGGUAGCACCGGAGAAAAAUCAACUGUCAACCGGCUUGUCAGUAUGAGCAGUUAGAAGUGACAUGAUUGGAAGCAUUAAGAACCAGGAACACAGGACAAUUUUCUGAGGGACGUGCAUCGAAUACAUUACCUAGAACACAAACUGAAUCGGAUGCUGUAGCCCACCACCGUGAACUGAAGCUUCAUGAAGAGAGACUCAUGUGACCCUCGUGUGGAAGCGAAUGGAACAAAGACCAACUUUUCCAUUUGGACCCCUGGUUUCUCUCGAAUGCAGUUGUCCCAUCCUCAGCCUUUGAAUGAAAUGACUGUGCUGGUGGUCCCACGCCCAGGGGAAACAUCCUGUCCCCUAGAGGACCCUCAGUCUGUUGGAAAGUGUAAUGAGUAAGACUCAGUGAGCAGCAGAGGCUGAGAAAGUUGGGGGCCAAGGAGCAGGUCAGAGUUUCCCCACUUCUGCUUUUAACUCUCCUCCACUCAAAAUAGAAACUAUUUCCACCUUACUCCCUGUCCCCAACCUCAGCUUCAAGGUGGUCUACCACAAACACUCUGAGUGACAGUAGGGGAGUCACCAACUCUCCUGUGAGUCUGCACACCAAGCUGAGGAAACGGAAGCCUAGAAAGGCCAAAGAAAGUACUGUGUUGACCUUUUACAAUUAUUAAUUAAUUAAAUACAUAUGGGUGUU